CUUCGAAGAGUCGAGUUGUUUGGGAAUGCAGCUCUAAGUGGGUGGUAAAUUCCAUCUAAAGCUAAAUAUUGGCGAGAGACCGAUAGCGAACAAGUACAGUGAUGGAAAGAUGAAAAGAACUUUGAAAAGAGAGUGAAAAAGUACGUGAAAUUGUUGAAAGGGAAGGGCAUUUGAUCAGACAUGGUGUUUUGUGCCCUCUGCUCCUUGUGGGUAGGGGAAUCUCGCAUUUCACUGGGCCAGCAUCAGUUUUGGUGGCAGGAUAAAUCCAUAGGAAUGUAGCUUGCCUCGGUAAGUAUUAUAGCCUGUGGGAAUACUGCCAGC
rnacentral:rRNA from 1 species